AACUAGAUGCCUGAAAAAGGAUUAUUUUGAUAGAAUAAAUUAUGUAACAUUUACUCUAGUUA
rnacentral:tRNA from 1 species